GGUCCCUUGGCCCAGUUGGUUAAGGCGUGGUGCUAAUAACUCAGUUUGUUACGCCAAGAUCAGCAGUUCGAUCCUGCUAGGGACCA
rnacentral:tRNA from 24 species